UCAAAUAAAUGCAGCCUUUGUGAUCAUAAAAGACUUCUUUCAACAACGUAAAAAAAUAUUACUGACCCCAUACUUUUGAGCGAAAGUGUGUAUACACCUUUUACUGUUUACGACACUGUUUAAUAUUUUAUAAUAUAAUAUUUUAAUAUUUUCUUAAUGUCCACAGGCAUUGUUUUCAUCAUUUUAGGUUCGUAUCGUGAAUAUAAACAGAGAGGUUCAUACAAUACUGGAGAAGGCCAGAGGACAAAAGAAGAGUUAUUGCUAAAUCAAAGUCUGUAAACCCAAGGGCAAACAAUCGGACGGCUCCUUUGUUCUAGCGCUGUUCCUGCAAGUGGACUGCUUGAAGUUGAAGUUUUAAACUUCAGUGUUGUAUUUUAUAAACUAGAUAUUUUAUUUAUUUAUAAUUGCUAUAUAAUGUUUUGCUUCCAGUUAUUGAUGAAAACACAAGAUGGUAUUUUUGUAUAUGUUAAUAAAGAUGUUUAUACUUGA